rnacentral:rRNA from 1 species
AAAGAACGCUGGAGGCAUGCCUAACACAUGCAAGUCGAACGAGACCUUCGGGUCUAGUGGCGCACGGGUGCGUAACGCGUGGGAACCUGCCCUUAGGUUCGGAAUAACUCCCCGAAAGGGGUGCUAAUACCGGAUAAUGUCUUCGGACCAAAGAUUUAUCGCCUUUGGAUGGGCCCGCGUUGGAUUAGCUAGUUGGUAGGGUAAAAGCCUACCAAGGCGACGAUCCAUAGCUGGUCUGAGAGGAUGAUCAGCCACACUGGGACUGAGACACGGCCCAGACUCCUACGGGAGGCAGCAGUGGGGAAGAGUGGACAAGGGGCGAAAGCCUGAUCCAGCAAUGCCGCGUGAGUGAUGAAGGCCUUAGGGUUGUAAAGCGCUUGGACCCGGGAGGAUAAUGACAGGACCGGGAGAAUAAGCGCCGGCUAACUCCGUG